UCAUAAACUUACAAGAAUGACAGCUUAUAAAUAGCAUAACAAAAGCUUAUAAAUAUCCAGCCAACAGCACAAGAGAUUAUGAAUAUCCCCAAUCAUAUACUAACCGAAAAAUCAUAAACUAUAAUUGGAUUUGUAUAAUUCAAUUUGUAUUAUCCAAAUUGCUUUGAAUAGUUGGAAAAUUCUUUAAGUUGUUUUUUUCCUUUCCCUCUCUUGUGCUAUAUAGUCUAUCGAAAAAAACUUCUCUACUUCUUUGAAGAUAAUGGUAUGAUAUGUGUACAUUUCACCUCUCCAAACCUUGCUACAUCGGAAUACACUGGUUUUGUUAUUGUUGUUGUCGUCUGUCUUUUGCUAUAAUAACAAAGCUUUACCUUCCUAUUUUCUCGGCAAUCAUAUUGGGUUUUGCCAAAUGCCAAUAAGGAAAUACAGUUACUUUUGGCUUGGCCUUUCUCAUAAUUGCUAUCGUCAUAAUACAACAACAUAUAAUCGCAGAUUUGCGUAUACUUGACAAUUUUAUUCCUUCCAUGGUCCAGCCUUGCAAAGUAAAAGGGGGGAAAAUGUUCUUCAUUUUAUGCCUGUUCCCUGCUCGAUGUUAUUCCACAAUGAAUAUUGUGCUCUUCGUUCAUUUUCCUAUGUGCAGCUCGACUAAUUAUAUUUACACUUGAGAGGAAAAAAGAUACGUGAGAAAAACCAGGAUAGGGUGAUGGCAGCUGCAAAGCUACACUUGUCUGUUCGUUCUUUCGUCUCUUCUUCAGCAAGAAUGCUUGAAGAAUCCAUUAAAGCUGCGGUGGAAGCAAAAAGAUAUGAACAGAUUCUUGAUAUACUAAGCUCCUCUAAAGGGUCUCACAAUAAUCCGAAUCCCUUUUCAUUUUUAUCCACCUUUCCUGAAAACGCAAGUGUGAAAAUUGUUGAUGAAAUUUUACAGUCUUUUACUCCAAUCAGGCCUCGUUCUCGCCCUCGAUUUGCAUAUUCCUCUCUCCUUUCCUACAGUCUUCAAAGCUCGAACCCUCUCCCACUUGCACUUGCCAUUCUCCAGCGUACCCUUCGCUCUGGCUGCAUUCCGGUACCUCAAACUCACCUCCUACUCUCCACUGCGUGGAUUGAACGUCGGAGUAAAUCCCGUUCUGUUGCGAGCAUAUUGUUGGAAAUGCAGGAUAUUGGAUAUGCACCUGAUUGUGGCACUUGCAAUUACCUGAUAUCAUCGCUUUGUAAGGUUGAUCAGAUAGAUGAAGCGGUUAAUGUAUUGAAGGGCAUGGCUCGUGCUGGUUGCAAUCCGGAUUUGGAUAGUUACGGUACUUUAAUUGACAACUUAUCCGAGCUAAGAAUGACGUCCGCCAUCAUAGAGACAUUGAAUGAAAUGGUUGCGAGAUUUGGCUUGAGCCCCAGAAAAGAAACUUUGGUGAAAGCUUUGGGAGCAAUAAGGGCUAACAAAGAGAUAUCGAGAGCAAUCGAAGUAAUUGAGUUUCUAACAAAUGAGAGUGUGCAUGUUGGGUUUGAGUGCUACGAGUUAGUCCUUGAAGGAUGCUUAGAGAACCGCCAGUUUAUUUUGGGUGGGAAGUUUGUGAUAGAAAUGACCAAGAGAGGCUUCAUACCAUACAUAAGGUCAAGGCAAAAGGUAGUUGAAGGUCUGGCAAGUAUUGGUGAGUGGGAACUUGCCAAUGCUGUCAGGCUGAGGUUUGCAGAACUAAGGUCUUAGUUUCAUUCAUGCAUGUGAAUCAGUAAGCUUUAUAGAGAGGGAUCGAGAUCAUUAUCCAGACUGAAGGAGCAUGUGGUCGGUUAUACUAGUAAUGACUGUAAUUUCAGAACGGAGGUGUCGCAUUCAGCUGCUUUAUUCUCCCACAAUGGUAUUGUCAAUCUGAAGUUUGAAUUCCCUCAUCCCUCAUCCCACUUCCCAGAAGGCAACAUGCAUCUUGGUGGCAAGGUAUUCCAUACUAGAGCUGAAUGCACUCUAUGCACAAUAAUCUUGUGAUCAUACAAGACAAAAGAGCGACUAAACUGUAUCUUCAGCUAUUCAAUUGAUUGUAUGCAUCAAAAUCCCAAGAGAUGCUCUGUUUUCUUUCUUUUAUUUAGUCUAUUUUGAAUUUAUCCAUUGAAAAACUUCAUCAUUCUGAAGCACCAGUGCGUUUUUUUUUUCUCUUUUCUGUCAUACUCAUCACGUUGACCUUCGUUUAGUACUUCAGAAAAAAAUUGGUAUUAACGUAGUUAAAUACAUAAAACGAUAGGAUAACUUUAGUAUGAUCAUGCAAAAAGCUAAGCAAUCAUUAUUUUUUUCGCUCCUGAAAUAUUAGCGACAUACCAUUA